CUCUCUCCACUCCUCAGAGCAGGUGAGUCUCCUGUAUUGUGUCAGGUACUGGUAUCUCUCUCCCCUCCUCAGAGCAGGUGAGUCUCCUGUAUUGUGUCAGUUACCUGUAGCUCUCCACUCCUCAGAGCAGCUGAGUCUCCUGUAUUGUGUCAGGUACUGGUAUCUCUCUCUACUCAGAGCAGGUGAGUCUCCUGUAUUGUGUCAGGUACUGGUAUCUCUCUCCCCUCCUCAGAGCAGGUGAGUCUCCUGUAUUGUGUCAGUUACCUGUAUCUCUCUCCACUCCUCAGAGCAGGUGAGUCUCCUGUAUUGUGUCAGGUACUGGUAUCUCUCUCCACUCCUCAGAGCAGGUGAGUCUCCUGUAUUGUGUCAGUUACCUGUAUCUCUCUCCCCUCCUCAGAGCAGGUGAGUCUCCUGUAUUGUGUCAGGUACUGGU